UUCACCUUCGAAACUACUCGCCUGUAUCGGAGCUCCUCCCUUCGCCCUUCGCCCUUCGCCUUCGCCUUCAUCACUGAUGGAAACCACUUCUUCUUCAUCUUGUUAAUCUUCGUACCCUUCUUCUCUUUCUUGUUCUUCUUCGAAUCAUUGUGGAUCUCUCUGUUCACCUUCAAGCUCCAGCAAACAUGGUCGACGGCAAGCUCCUCCCUCUUCUUCUCCUCCAAGCCCUCUCAGCCGCGCUUCCGCCGCCGUUGGUUGCCGUUAACGUUCGCGUCUUCGUUCAGCCGUCGUCUUCGUUCGCGUUCUUCGCCGUUCAAGUUUGCUCGGCGUUCACCGUUCGCGUUCACUCGCCGUUCACCGUUCGGGUUCGCGUUCGUCUGGAAGCCACGUUGCCCUGCUUCAAACUCUGCGACCAACCCGUGCGCUCCACCUAGCCGUCGAACUGCUCUCUUUUGUCGCCGCCCAUGGCACUCUCGGGGCACUUGUCCAAGAUUCUGUUAAGAGCCACUACUAGACCCUGUUUUACUGUGCAUGCACCCGCCCUCCGCCACUGCCGCUACCCCAGCGCUACCACUAGGCCGCCACCGUGUUGCUCCGGCCAUUCACCCAUCAUCAUCAAUCUUUCCCUUCCCUUCCCCUGUUCCAAUUCCCUGCUUCCCAGGGUGAGAUAUGUGUUGAAAGUUCAUAGUGUGUUUGUUCAGGAAGGGAAUGUGCUGAAUAAUUAUAUUAAAAGAUGGAUUUAGGCAUUCUUUUCUUCCUCUUUCACACCCUGCAGGUUUUGACAGCUACUAAAAUUAGAUAUUGGAGGUUUUGUUCAAUUAGAUGCUAGGUUUUGACAAGUCCCCAUGAGAUGUAAUGGCAAAAGAGAAUUGAUAGGCACACAAUUUCUUCUUGUUAUCAUGCUAUAUAAAAAACAUGUCUCAGUUGUGGUGGUUUGGUUUGGUUUUUGUUGUUUUCCAUUGCAGGAAUGCUAUUGAUUCCUCUUUAUUCAAGCAAUGGUUGCAUAACUUGCAAAGUGAGAUUGGGAUUCUAGCUGAUGGCACCUUGGCUCUGAGACAAGUUCUAAUUCAGUAAACCGUGAUUAGGUUCCAGGUAUUGUAUUUGCAAGAGGACCUGCUGUGACUAUGUUGAUACUUCUGGAAUCAGAUGGUGAAACUUAUGCUGUCCUUACUGAACAGGCAAGGGUUCCUACUGGAAGAAUUAUUUUGGAAUUGCCUGCUGGAAUGACAGCACCUGAGGAAUUAGCAAAAGGUCCGUCUAAUUGCUAGUAUUGGAAUGGAUAACUUGAACGCUUAAUGCACAAAGUGGAGCAGUUUUAGGUUGAUUUUGAUCUUUUACCAAGUAUUUAGGUUGAUGAUCAUCUCUAUUAGUGUAAUUUGAUAUAUUAUGAGCAGUUCUAACUUGUAUUGUUUCUGUAUUUUUCUUCGAUUUUUAGUUUUGGAAUUUGAACUGAGAUUUAUUUUGUA